AGCAAGGAGAAGUUGGUGAAGCUGGGGCAAAGUGAGGAUAUGUGUGCGUGCAGUUUAUGUCCAUGCUGCAGAUAUAAAGGAUGAAGUUGUAGGGCAGGAAGUCUUAUGUAACUUGGAGCAGCUACUCAAUGGAAAUCACAAACAGAAUGAGUUUCAUCCACAUGUCAAGACACUACUACCAACAGAGCUAUUUCAGGACACCUACCUAAAUAACUAGCUGUCUCUUCCACUUAAAGCAAGGCUGGAGUGCAAUGUUGUGAUCCUAGCUCACUGCAGCCUUGAACUCCUGGGCUCAAGUGACCCUCUCUCCUCAGUCUCCUGAGUAGCUG
rnacentral:lncRNA from 10 species